GAUGAACGCUGGCGGCGUGCCUAAUACAUGCAAGUCGAGCGAACAGACGAGGAGCUUGCUCCUCUGACGUUAGCGGCGGACGGGUGAGUAACACGUGGAUAACCUACCUAUAAGACUGGGAUAACUUCUGGAAACCGGAGCUAAUACCGGAUAAUAUAUUGAACCGCAUGGUUCAAUAGUGAAAGACGGUUUUGCUGUCACUUAUAUAUGGAUCCGCGCCGCAUUAGCUAGUUGGUAAGGUAACGGCUUACCAAGGCAACGAUGCGUAGCCGACCUGAGAGGGUGAUCGGCCACACUGGAACUGAGACACGGUCCAGACUCCUACGGGAGGCAGCAGUAGGGAAUCUUCCGCAAUGGGCGAAAGCCUGACGGAGCAACGCCGCGUGAGUGAUGAAGGUCUUCGGAUCGUAAAACUCUGUUAUUAGGGAAGAACAAAUGUGUAAGUAACUAUGCACGUCUUGACGGUACCUAAUCAGAAAGCCACGGCUAACUACGUG
rnacentral:rRNA from 1 species